AUGGGCACCAGCCUCCUGUGCUGUGUGACCUUCUGUCUCCUGCAGGCAGGUCCAGGGAAUGCUGGUGUCACUCAGGACCCAAAAUUCCGGGUCCUGAGGACAGGACAGAGCACGACCCUGAAAUGUGCCCAGGAUCUGGACCACAACUAUAUGUACUGGUACCGACAAGACCUGGGACACGGGCUGAGGCUGAUCCAUUACUCAACUAACACUGGCAACAUCAACAAAGGAGACGUCCCCAACGGGUACAGCGUCUCCAGAUCAAACCUCGAGAACUUCCCUCUCACACUGGAGGCUGCCACCCACUCCCAGACAUCUGUGUACCUCUGCGCCAGCAGUUACUCCACGGCACUGCACGGCCACCUCCUCUCUGCACAAAAAGGUCACACAGGAGCUGGACUGUCCCAGUCCCCCAGGCACAGGGUCACAGGGAGGGGCCAAGCUGUAGUUCUCAGGUGUGACCCAAUUUCUGGUCAUGUUUCCCUUUGUUGGACUGACAGACACUGGGGCAGGGCCCAGAGCUUUUGAUUUACUUUCAAAACAAGGCUGCACCAGAGGCGUCGGGGAUGCCUAAUGAUUGGGUCUCUGCUGAGAGACCUGAGGGCUCAUACUCCCAUCUGAAUAUCCAGCCAGUGGAGCCUGGGGACUCAGCCAUGUAUCUCUGUGCCAGCAGCUUAAUCAAACAGCGUCACACAGUCGCUUCCUUCUUGUUCACAGACCUCAUCCUUCUCUCUCCUUGCAGUUCCUAG